rnacentral:lncRNA from 1 species
AUCUCAAUAAGGCUAUAAGAAGAAGAAGAAGGAGGAGGACGAGGGGGAGAAGAAGAAGAAGGAGAAGGAGAAGGGAGGAGGAGGAAGAGGAAGAGGAGGAGGAAAAGGAAGAGGCAGAAGAAAAGAAGACGAAGAGGAAGAAGAAGGAAGAAGAAGAAAGAAGAAGGAGAAGAAGGAGAAGGAGAAAAAGAAAGAAGAAGAAGAAGAAGAAAAGAAGAAGAAGAAGGAGAAGGAGAAGGAGAAGAAGAAGAAGAAAAAGAGAUUCUCAGAAGUGACAAUAACCCAUUGCUUGAAACCAGCAGAUGCAGAAGGAGAGAAUGUGUGGAGGAUUAUGUAGAAGGAUUUCACGAGCCUGGCCUGGAGAGGACACAUCACUUCCAACUCCAUUCCAUUACCAGAGCUUAGUCUAUUUCCAGAAGAUUAUAAGCUUCAUGGGGGUAGAUGCUUUACUUCAUUCAUCACUGCAUCUCCAACGCCUAGCACAGAGUCCUGAAUUACAGGCUCAAUAACUAUUUACUGAAUGUGAAAACAGAGCUGCUUGAAGAUAUAUGAGGCUAAUUGAGGUGACAAUAUCACAUAACUUUUAUCUGAGAUUGCAAAUAAAUUGUUAUACAUAUUCCAGAUAAUAUUUUUCACCUGUUUUACUUCAAUUUUUAUAAAAUCCAGAAUUCCUUUCAAUGCCAACCAAAACCACUACGCCAUUUGUGUACUACGAAAAAGCAGUGCCUACACUGUUGUAAAUGCUUUUCCAUGAAUUACUUUGGAUAGCUAAAGACUGUGACUUUGAAGCUCGUAGUGAUUCAUUAUUAUUGUGAAUUGCACAGGUGAGAAGGGACAUAGAGGUUGCUGAACCUCUCUUUACCCAAACCCUCCUAGACUGGUGCAAAUUUGUUCAAUUUCUAACAUCUUCCUAGAAGAACGUUUCACACUCAGCUUUUGGAACCACUUCCAAUGUAUACCAUAUGUCAGCGUUGUUGGGAUUUUCUUCCUUUUAAUUUAAAUGCUUGUACUUAGGUCUGUUUCUUCUUGUUGUUAAGUGAAAAUAGUAAAAGACUGUCAUCUUUUGGGUGGUGAAAAUUCAUCAAAGCCAAGAAAACCAUCUUUUAAUAAUCACCAGUUCUCAUUGUUCUAUGUUCAUGUGGUUUUGAGAUGUUUUAGACCCAUCUCCAAAAAUACCUGCACCCCAGGCAAAACUGGUAGCAAAACAGCAACCCGGACGUUGGUGUGCAUGUUAAAAC